rnacentral:rRNA from 1 species
UAGCAUAUCAAUAAGCGGAGGAAAAGAAACCAACAGGGAUUGCCCUAGUAACGGCGAGUGAAGCGGCAACAGCUCAAAUUUGAAAUCUGGCCCUUUUGGGGGUCCGAGUUGUAAUUUGCAGAGGGUGCUUUGGCGUUGGCUGUGGUCUAAGUUCCUUGGAACAGGACGUCGCAGAGGGUGAGAAUCCCGUAUGUGGCCGCCAGUCUUCGCCGUGUAAAGCCCCUUCGACGAGUCGAGUUGUUUGGGAAUGCAGCUCUAAAUGGGAGGUAAAUUUCUUCUAAAGCUAAAUAUUGGCCAGAGACCGAUAGCGCACAAGUAGAGUGAUCGAAAGAUGAAAAGCACUUUGGAAAGAGAGUCAAAAAGCACGUGAAAUUGUUGAAAGGGAAGCGCUUGCAGCCAGACUUGCUUGCAGUUGCUUAGCCAGGCUUUUGCCUGGUGUACUCUUCUGCAUGCAGGCCAGCAUCAGUCCGGGCGGUUGGAUAAAGGCCUAUUAAACGUACCUCUCUUCGGGGAGGACUUAUAGGGUAGGUGCCAUGCAACCAGCCUGGAUUGAGGUCCGCGCAUCUGCUAGGAUGCUGGCGUAAUGGCUGUAAGCGGCCCGUCUUGAAACACGGACCAAGGAGUCUAACAUCUAUGCGAGUGUUUGGGUGUCAAGCCCGAGCGCGUAAUGAAAGUGAACGGAGGUGGGAACCUUUCGGGGUGCACCAUCGACCGAUCCUGAUGUCUUCGGAUGGAUUUGAGUAAGAGCAUAGCUGUUGGGACCCGAAAGAUGGUGAACUAUGCCUGAAUAGGGUGAAGCCAGAGGAAACUCUGGUGGAGGCUCGCAGCGGUUCUGACGUGCAAAUCGAUCGUCAAAUUUGGGCAUAGGGGCGAAAGACUAAUCGAACUAUCUAGUAGCUGGUUCCUGCCGA